UACGAAGGGGGCUAGCGUUGUUCGGAAUUACUGAGCGUAAAGCGCGCGCAGGCGGCUAUCCAAGUCAGUGGUGAAAGCCCGGAGCUCAACUCCGGAACUGCCAUUGAAACUGUUUAGCUUGAGGAUGAGAGAGGUGAGUGGAAUUCCCAGUGUAGAGGUGAAAUUCGUAGAUAUUGGGAAGAACACCGGUGGCGAAGGCGGCUCACUGGCUCAUUACUGACGCUCAGGCGCGAUAGCGUGGGGAUCAAACAGG
rnacentral:rRNA from 1 species